UAACCCGUCUCUGGGUCUCUUUUCAUUAUAAACUGUUGAUGUGGUGUCUAUCCAGUAAGAUUGCAAGGAUCACACUAGAUGGUAUAUUGAGAGUGACUAGCAUAGUGCCUGCCGUAAGGUGAUGUCUCGGAAACUGGCUACUCCAUUCCUUCCCCUCACUGCACCCCAGUAUCCCCACUGCUGACCCUCCAGUCUCUGCCUGAACACUGGUGCAGGGAACCCGCAGUUCUUCCUUACAGUAGGUCAACCUCCACUUUUACUAGUCCUGUUGAACAGGUGUGGACUCAACCUCUGUAAGCUCAUAGUAAAGUUGAAAAGUCAGCAAUAACUUGUACAGGGCAAGCAAUGGCAAGUGUAGGAAAAGGGAGUAUUUCAGUUCUGAUUGAAACUACAGAGAAGAGAAUCUAAUCUGAACGAGGCUUUGAAAGAUGGGUCUGGGUCAUCAAGUCUCUUCUGAGUAUUUAGUAACUUUAUUCACAAAAACUGUCUACGGCAUGUCUCGCGUAACUUCAAAUGUCAGUUGUAGUUGUCUGGGUAUGGUUGUUACCAAUAUAUAUAACCAACUACCUUGCUAGACAUUGAGAUUAUUUCUAAUCUGAGGAUAUUAAGAGUGCUUCCAUGACCAUCCCUGGAACAAAAUGUUUGGGCAAAUUCAAACUACUUCCUUGGGAUAAAUUCCAAGAAGUGGAUUGUAGGGUGAAAGGUACAUUUUUCUGUUACUUUAUUUCAAAAAUUUUCAAACAAAGCAGAACAGGUUGUUUACAUAUGUACCUACCACCUAGAUUCAAUAAUUAACAUCUUAACAUGUUUUUUCAAUGUAAAUGUAUAGGGGUGUACCUUUAUGCUGACUAGUCAGUUGCACACACAUUUCAGCAUGUGUCUCUCAGGAUACUCCAAUGUAACCACAGUAUCACUGUAGCAUCUGAGAUAACUCUCAGUGCCUAAUAUUCAGUCUAUAUUCACAUUUCAGCAAUUGCCCUCCAACUGUCUCAGAGCUUAUUUUUUGAGCAUGGAUUCAGUUUCAUGCAUUACAUGUCGUCAUGUCUCCUUGGUCUAUUAAUCGUGAACAAUCUCCCCUUGCUCCGCUCUUUUUUGAAUGGAAUGUCUCCCCUCCUAGAUUUGAAUGUUUCCCCAGAGUGCCCACUAAUUCAUUCCUCUCUCUCUUGUGUUUUCUGUAAACUGGAAGUUGGGUCAAGAGGCUUGAUUAUGUUUGGCAGGAAUCCUCCAUGGGUGAUGCUAUGUGCUGUUCAUAUUGGAUGACAGCGGGACGUACCUGAAAUACUGCCUUUACUAUUCGUGAUGCUAAAUUUGAGUCUUUAAGAUAAGAUCACCAGAGCUCUCCUUUGUAAACACGAGCUUUUCCCUAUUCCCACAGCCUUCCACUUGAGUGGAAGCUGCACUGGGAGCUGCAAAAUGGGAAGAGCGCACAUCCUAUAGCAUCUUGUCACAUGGCCCGGAGAAAAGUCAUCUCAAGUGUUCUCAGAGUAUCUAUCUUCCCACCUUUACCAGUCCUCGGCAUUAUGUUUGGAAAAUGGGAAGGGGGGAAACAAAAAACCACUGGAUUUCAUAGGUGGAAAAUGGUGUCCCUGACGUUUACAUUUUCUUUUUUUAAUUCCGUGGUACUAUGUUUUCUUCACACAUCAAGCUGCCAUUUGUGAUCCGUACUCUAGACCCAGUUCAAACGCCCAUCUGGGUAGAUUUGGGGGAAGUUGUUUUCACUGAGGUCACGUGGAGCCACCCCACCACCAGGCCGGGUUCUGUUAAUGGAGGAAGGGGACGCUGAGCAGUAAAAAACACCAUCCAUCCAGGCUGGGAAAGGUGCCUGUUUUUCCAUUCGAUUUAUAUAGUCAGGAUAUUAACCUUUUACUAUGUCACAAAUAUUUCUGUCCAAAUCAUCUUUUCUGCUUUUCAGUUAUCAUGGUCCUUUUGGGAACGUUAAGUAGGUGGACUUUGACCAAUGUGCCUGCAGUUUCUGCUUCUGGUGUCUCGUAGGUAACGGUCACGCCCCAGGCUCUGUGCGAGGCAGUUUCACCGCCAGUGACGACCAGCCCCAACUCCGGGCGUAACGGCCUUUGCCCUGCUAACAGACUGGAGGGAGGGCCCCAGAAUACUUUCCAACGAGACCGUCCUAUUUCAGCCUGAAAACAUCGUGUGCCGGCUCUAGGUAAGUGCCUUAAAUCACCCUAACAUCUCACUCACCUUAUUUCAUGUGUAGGAGGAAGAACAAUUACGGGUUUCCAUCUCUCUACUGCUGCAUAUUCCCGUAAAUUAUCCUGUAAGAAACAACACCCUCCCAUCCCUGGCAAAAAAAGCAGAAAGUGUGCACUUAUUUUUCUACCUGCUUUCACACUGCUGGAUUGGCAAACCGAGUGUACGCAACCGAACGGACUACAGAAAACUGCCUUUAGCUGGCUGUUCGCUUCCCCGCUCUCCCAUCUUUGAAGAAACUGCUGGUGCAGGAAGCCGUAAUCAACCCCGAAGUAAGCGGAACUCUGUGUCAUCACUUCAAGGUCUUUAGCAUUGGGAACUCCGUUAAUCUUUAAAACUUCCCACUCGUCCAUGCAAAUGACAUUCAUUCUGGAUAAAGUGGAAGCUGUUUAACACUGGCAGUUCUGAAACCUACCGGAUGAAUUCCCUCAUGCAUUACCUCUGUGGCCCAGAGAGAUCAAUUCCAAAAUUGCUCAUGAAACGUCAUAAGCUUCACUGAACUAUAGUACUAGUAACCUGGUAUUUGCUUAUUUUGCAUGGAAGUAGAAGAGCACCCAGAGGACUCUGGUUUCUUGUCCUUGUGAGACUUACUAGCAUCCUGUCAAUAGCUGCAGUGAUUCCUCUGUGUGAAGUGACAUUCUUCGGUACGCGUGUGGGCAAAAACCACAGGGCAGCGUGCCCAGCUUCUGCGUGGCAUGUGUCUUCCCCACCCAAGUAACAGGUAACUUCAGAGCUGGUGUUUUCCCAUUCAAAUAGCCAGAUCCCAAAAUCCACGGGUGCUCAAGUCCCCGGUAUAAAACGGCGUAGUCUUUACAUAUAACCUGUGCGCAUCCUCCUCCCUACGUUAAGUCAUGUCUAGAUUACUUACAAUUCCUAAUGCAACAUAAAUGGUGGUUACACUGUAUUUAGAGAAUGACAAGAAAAAAGUCUUUACACGUUCAGUACAGAUGCAACACCAUCCUUUUAUUUUCCCCCAAAUAAUUUCAAUCCGCAGUUGGCUGAAUCCGUGGCUGCGGAACCCACCGAUAGAGACAACUGUAAGUUAUCCGUGGUCAGGCAGGUCGUAAAAGGUGAAGCUCAGAUUAUUAUACAGAUUUGUCUGACUUCAUGUUAUGCACUGGAGGAAAUGUGGGUUUUAUAAGCUGUUUUAAUGUCAUCUGCAGCUCGUAUCUUAACACUGCUAACAUUCAACCAUUUUUGGAUGAUACUAGAGACAAUUAGUAAGACUGGAUUGGGAGUAGACAUCAGAGAGGUUCUGUGAACUGGAGUUUGAGAAAGAAGUCCUAAGACUUUGUAGUCACUGGAAACUCUUCCCAUGACUAGCACACUGGGGGACUAUUCUGUCCACGACUGCUUUACAUGUUGCCCGGUAGAUUUUCUCCAUUUACCAGCACUAGUCACGACAUUAAUACACUUCUAGGGACUGCUAAAAUUGGUAGGUUUUUAAAUACAUGUGUUAAGUAGGACAUGUCCAAUUUCCCUUAGUACUAAGUUUGACAGUUACUAUCUCUGAUAUUUCACUUUUGUUUUUAUUAUUAUGAAGGUACAUCCUCAGUCUU